rnacentral:misc_RNA from 1 species
UAUCAGAAAUCUUGCUUUAUUUGGAGGAGGAAGGUCUUUCUUUAAUCAAUUCUUCUUCCUUUGAGUCCUUUGGAGGCAGGGUCUUCUUUAAUUUACAUCUUCAGGCAAAAGGAGGUUAUAAAUUGGAGCAAGAGGUUUUAAGUGAGAAGCUUGUGUCUUUAUACAAGGAAGGGAAAGGAUUUCCAUAAAAUUCGUGUAUGAUAUUUGAUAAUUUAA